GGAUCAGUGCUCUAAAAUGAGUCUCUCUGGGGAGAAAGAGGAGGGCCCUGCCUCUAAAAUGAGUCUCACUGGGGAGAGAGAGGAGGGGGGCCCUGCCUCUAAAAUGAGUCUCACUGGGGAGAGAGAGGAGGGGGGCCCUGCCCCUAAAAUGAGUCUCACUGGGGAGAGAGAGGAGGGCCCUGCCUCUAAAAUGAGUCUCACUGGGGAGAGAGAGGAGGGGGGCCCUGCCUCUAAAAUGAGUCUCACUGGGGAGAGAGAGGAGGGGGGCCCUGCCCCUAAAAUGAGUCUCACUGGGGAGAGAGAGAAGGGGGGCCCUGCCUCUAAAAGGAAUGUCUCUGGGGAACAUGGCACCAAAUUUAAGAGACCAAUCAAGCAGGAGAGACCAGCCACCCCUGUACCCAGCUGUGUGUCCAUGAAGAGUGACCGGUCUAUGGAACCUCCUAUAAUGUUUAGAGAGGAAGACUUUUCUACUGAACAAAGAAACCAACAGGAGAGAUCAGAGUCAGAGAUUCUCAGUGGUCAGUCUUCCCAGAGUCAUCAAACAGACCUGGCCUCCAUAUUCAGUUUGCUUGAAGAGAAAAUUAUGACAUUUGUGAAGAACGAGCUGAAGCUGUUCAAGAGGAAUCUUUGUACAGAACUCCCAGAAGGCUUUGAGAGUCAGAAGCAGGAUAAGGAAGUGGUGGAUGCUGAAGAUGAGAAGCAGGAGAGCAAUGCCAGAGAGGGGGCUCUGAAGAUCACACUGCACAUCCUGAGGAAAAUGAACCAGAAGGAGCUUGCUGACACACUGGAGAAAUAUGAGCUUGCUGUGAUUUGCCAACGUGAACUCAAAUCUAAUCUAAAGAAGAAGUUUCAAUGUGUAUUUGAGGGGAUCGCUAAACAAGGAAACCCAACACUUCUCAAUAAGAUCUACACAGAGCUCUACAUCACAGAGGGUGGAACAGGAGAGGUCAAUAAGGAACAUGAGCUGAAACAGAUUGAGACAACAACCAGGAAACAAGCAAGACCAGAGACUGCAAUCAAAUGUAACGACAUCUUCAAACCCUUAACUGGACAAGACAAACGUAUCAGAACUGUGCUGACAAAGGGAGUCGCUGGCAUUGGAAAAACAGUCUCUGUGCAGAAGUUCAUUCUGGACUGGGCUGAAGGAAAAGCAAAUCAGGAUGUCCAAUUUGUAUUUUCAUUCCCUUUUCGGGAGCUGAAUUUGAUGAAAGAGGACAAACACACUUUAAUUGAACUUCUUAAUCACUUCUCAAUGGAAACCAAAGAUUCAAGAAUCUCCAACUACAACAAGUACAAAGUUCUGUUCAUCUUUGAUGGUCUGGAUGAGUGCCGACUGCCCCUAGACUUCCAGAAGAACAAGAUCUGUUGUGACGUCACAGAGUCAACCUCAGUGGAUGUUUUGCUGACAAAUCUCAUCAAGGGAAAUCUGCUUCCCUCUGCUCUCCUCUGGAUAACUACCCGACCUGCAGCAGCCAAUAAGAUCCCUUCAUGGUGUGUUGACCAGGUGACAGAGGUACGAGGGUUCAAUGACCCACAGAAGGAGGAGUACUUCAGGAAGAGAUUCAGUGAUGAGGACCUGGCCAGCAGAAUCAUCUCACACAUAAAGACAUCAAGGUGCCUCCACAUCAUGUGCCACAUUCCAGUCUUCUGUUGGAUUUCUGCAACAGUCCUUGAAAACAUGCUGAAACAUAAGAGAGAAGAGAUGCCCAAGACUCUGACUGAGAUGUACACACACCUUGUGGUGUUUCAUACCAAACAGAAGAAUGAAAAAUAUCUUGGGAAAGAAGAGACAGGUCCACACUGGAAUAAAGAGAGCAUUCUGUCACUGGGAAAACUGGCUUUUCAACAGCUUGUGAAGGGCAAUCAGAUUUUCUAUGAAAAAGACCUGAAAGAAGCUGGCAUUGACGUCAAUGAAGCCUCAGUGUACUCAGGAUUGUGCACACAGCUCUUUAAAGAGGAACGUGGGCUGUACCAGGACAAGGUGUACUGCUUUGUUCAUCUGAGCAUUCAGGAGUUUCUGGCUGCUGUAUAUGUGUUCCUCUCAUUCAUCAACAACAAUGAGAAUCUAAUGGCCAAAACUCAAUCAACGUCCAGGAAACUUUCUGUGAGGAAAAGACAGAAGCCUAAAUUUACUGUCUACAAGAGUGCUGUGGAUAAAGCCUUACAAAGUGAGACAGGAAACCUGGACCUUUUCCUCCGCUUCCUUCUGGGCCUCUCACUGGAGUCCAAUCAGAAGCACUUACGAGGUCUACUGACAAAGACAAGAAGCAGCUCACAGAGCCAUGAAGAAACAGUCAAGUACAUCAAGAAGAAGAUCAGGGAGAAUCCCUCUCCAGAGAGGAGCAUCAAUCUGUUCCACUGUCUGAAUGAACUGAAUGACCAUUCUCUAGUGGAGGAGAUCCAAAGCUUCCUGAGAUCAGGAAGUCUCUCAAAACCCAACCUGUCACCUGCACAGUGGUCAGCUCUGGUCUUUGUGUUGCUGACUUCAGAAAAGGAGCUGGAUGUGUUUGACCUGAAGAAAUACUCCAGAUCAGAGGAAGGUCUUCUGAGGCUGCUGCCAGUGGUCAAAGCCUCCAGAGCUGUUCUGCUGUCAGGCUGUCUAAUCACAGAGGAAGGCUGUGCUUCUCUGGUCUCAACUCUGAAGUCAAAACCCUCACACCUGAGAGAGCUGGAUCUGAGUAACAAUGAUUUGAAGGAUUCAGGAGUGAAGCUGCUCUCUGCUGGACUGGGGAAUCCCCACUGUAAACUGGAGACUCUGAGGCUGUCAGGCUGUCUAGUCACAGAGGAAGGCUGUGCUUCUCUGGUCUCAGCUCUGAGGUCAAACCCCUCACACCUGAGAGAGCUGGAUCUGAGGAACAAUGACCUGAAGGAUUCAGGAGUGAAGCUGCUCUCUGCUGGACUGGGGAAUCCCCGCUGUAAACUGGAGACUCUGAGGCUGUCAGGCUGUCUGGUCACAGAGGAAGGCUGUGCUUCUCUGGUCUCAGUUCUGAGGUCAAACCCCUCACACCUGAAAGAGCUGGACCUGAGCUACAAUCACCCAGGAGACAAAGGAGUCAGACUGCUCUCUGCUGGACUGGAGGAUCCACACUGCAGACUGGAGAAACUCAAUGUGGAACAUGGUGGAGAGAACAGAAUGAAACCUGGACUUAGAAAAUAUGUCUGUGAUCUCACACUGGACCCAAACACAGUAGACAGAUGCCUCUCUCUGUCUGAGGAGAACAGAAAGGUGACAUGGAGGAGAGAGGAACAGCCGUAUCCUGAUCACACAGAGAGAUUUGAGGACUGUGGACAGGUGCUGUGUAGAGAGGGUCUGACUGGGCGCUGUUACUGGGAGAUAGAGUGGAGUGGGAGAGGGGCUGAUAUAGGAGUGACAUAUAAAGGAAUCAACAGGAGAGGAAGGGGUCUUGAUUGUUGUCUUGGAUGGAAUGACAAGUCCUGGAGUCUGUUCUGCUCUCACAACAGUUACAUUGCCUGGCACAAUGAGAAUCCCACUACCAUAGUCGUCCCCUCCUCCAGCUCCCACAGAGUAGGAGUGUAUCUGGACUGGCCAGCCGGCACUCUGUCCUUCUAUAGAGCCUCCUCUGACACACUGACCCACCUGUACACAUUCACCUCCACAUUCACUGAGCCCCUCUAUCCUGGGUUUAGGGUUCAUGAUGAUUCCUCAGUGACUCUGUAAAUAAUAACCUUAAACACAUACACACACACACUACACUCACACACUGGACACACAAACACACAGGACACACACACACAAACACACAGGACACAUACACACACGCUGGACACAGACUCAGACUGACACAUACACACACAUACA